UACGUAGGGUGCAAGCGUUGUCCGGAAUUAUUGGGCGUAAAGAGCUCGUAGGCGGUUUGUCGCGUCUGCUGUGAAAACCCGAGGCUCAACCUCGGGCCUGCAGUGGGUACGGGCAGACUAGAGUGCGGUAGGGGUGACUGGAAUUCCUGGUGUAGCGGUGAAAUGCGCAGAUAUCAGGAGGAACACCGGUGGCGAAGGCGGGUCUCUGGGCCGUAACUGACGCUGAGGAGCGAAAGCAUGGGGAGCGAACAGG
rnacentral:rRNA from 1 species